UACAGAGGGUGCAAGCGUUAAUCGGAAUGACUGGGCGUAAAGCGUGUGUAGGUGGUUGGAUAAGUUAGAUGUGAAAUCCCAGGGCUUAACCUGGGAACUGCAUUUGUGACUGCAUGGCUGGAGUGCGGCAGAGGGGGAUGGAAUUCCGCGUGUAGCAGUGAAAUGCGUAGAUAUGCGGAGGAACACCGAUGGCGAAGGCAAUCCCCUGGGCCUGCACUGACGCUCAUGCACGAAAGCGUGGGGAGCAAACAGG
rnacentral:rRNA from 1 species